GGUGAACGCUGGCGGUAGGCCCAACACAUGCAAGUCGAACGGCAGCACAGUAAGAGCUUGCUCUUACGGGUGGCGAGUGGCGGACGGGUGAGGAAUACAUCGGAAUCUACUUUUUCGUGGGGGAUAACGUAGGGAAACUUACGCUAAUACCGCAUACGACCUACGGGUGAAAGCAGGGGAUCUUCGGACCUUGCGCGAUUGAAUGAGCCGAUGUCGGAUUAGCUAGUUGGCGGGGUAAAGGCCCACCAAGGCGACGAUCCGUAGCUGGUCUGAGAGGAUGAUCAGCCACACUGGAACUGAGACACGGUCCAGACUCCUACGGGAGGCAGCAGUGGGGAAUAUUGGACAAUGGGCGCAAGCCUGAUCCAGCCAUACCGCGUGGGUGAAGAAGGCCUUCGGGUUGUAAAGCCCUUUUGUUGGGAAAGAAAAGCAGCAGGUUAAUACCCCGCUGUUCUGACGGUACCCAAAGAAUAAGCACCGGCUAACUUCGUG
rnacentral:rRNA from 1 species